rnacentral:rRNA from 1 species
UCGGGAAUUUUGGGCAAUGGGCGAAAGCCUGACCCAGCAACGCCGCGUGAGGGAUGAAGUAUUUCGGUAUGUAAACCUCGAAAGAAUGGGAAGAAUAAAUGACGGUACCAUUUAUAAGCUCCGGCUAACUACGUGCCAGCAGCCGCGGUAAUACGUAGGGAGCAAGCGUUGUUCGGAUUUACUGGGCGAAAAGGGCGCGUAGGCGGCGCGGUAAGUCACUUGUGAAAUCUCUGAGCCUAACUCAGAACGGCCAAGUGAUACUGCUGUGCUAGAGUGCGGAAGAGGCAACCGGAAUUCUUGGUGUAGCGGUGAAAUGCGUAGAUAUCAAGAGGAACACCUGAGGCGAAGGCGGGUUGCUGGGCCGACACUGACGCUGAUGCGCGAAAGCCAGGGGAGCAAACG